rnacentral:rRNA from 1 species
CACAAGCGGUGGAUGAUGUGGAUUAACUCGAUGCAACGCGAAAACCUUACCUACCCUUGACAUGUCCGGAAUCCCGAAGAGAUUUGGGAGUGCUCGCAAAGAGAGCCGGAACACAGGUGCUGCAUGGCUGUCGUCAGCUCGUGUCGUGAGAUGUUGGGUUAAGUCCCGCAACGAGCGCAACCCUUGUCAUUAGUUGCCAUCAUUUGGUUGGGCACUCUAAUGAGACUGCCGGUGACAAACCGGAGGAAGGUGGGGAUGACGUCAAGUCCUCAUGGCCCUUAUGGGUAGGGCUUCACACGUCAUACAAUGGUCGGUACAGAGGGUUGCCAACCCGCGAGGGGGAGCUAAUCCCACAAAGCCGAUCGUAGUCCGGAUCGCAGUCUGCAACUCGACUGCGUGAAGUCGGAAUCGCUAGUAAUCGUGGAUCAGCAUGUCACGGUGAAUACGUUCCCGGGUCUU